rnacentral:snoRNA from 1 species
AAUGCCCCACACCUGACACUUCAAUUCAAAAUAAGUUGAUGUGUUUUUCGUUGAGGCUAUAUUAACAUCCUCAUAUCAUAAUUGCAUCAGCCUAUUGCUAUAUGCUUGCAUGUUAUGCUGGUAACAUUGUU